rnacentral:rRNA from 1 species
AGUAACGGCGAGUGAAGCGGCACAGCUCAAAUUUGAAAUCUGGCUCCUUUCGGGGUCCGAGUUGUAAUUUUAGAGGAUGCUUUUGGUGAGGUGCCUUCCGAGUUCCCUGGAACGGGACGCCAUAGAGGGUGAGAGCCCCGUACGGUUGGAUACCAAGCCUCUGUAUAGCUCCUUCAACGAGUCGAGUAGUUUGGGAAUGCUGCUCUAAAUGGGAGGUAUAUCUCUUCUAAAGCUAAAUAUAGGCUAGAGACCGAUAGCGCACAAGUAGAGUGAUCGAAAGAUGAAAAGCACUUUGAAAAGAGAGUUAAACAGCACGUGAAAUUGUUGAAAGGGAAGCGCCUAUGACCAGACUUGUUUCUGGCAGUUUCGUUAGCCUCGGGCUGAUUUACUCUGCCAGUACAGGCCAGCAUCAGUUUGCUGUCGGGGAUGAAAGGCUCUGGGAACGUAGCUCCUCCCCCUUCUGGGGGGAGUGUUAUAGCCCUCUGCAUAAUACCUUCGGCAGACUGAGGACCGCGCUUCGCAAGGAUGCUGCGUAAUGGUCACAGGACGCCCGUCUUGAAACACGGACCAAGGAGUUCAACCUUAUGUGCGAGUGUUUGGGUGUAAAACCCCAGCGCGUAAUGAAAGUGAACGUAGGUGAGAGCUUCGGCGCAUCAUCGACCGAUUCUGAUGUUUUCGGAUGGAUUUGAGUAAGAGCACACAGGGUUGGACCCGAAAGAAGGUGAACUAUGCUUGUAUAGGGUGAAGCCAGAGGAAACUCUGGUGGAGGCUCGCCAGCGGUUCUGACGUGCAAAUCGAUCGUCAAAUAUGAGCAUGGGGGCGAAAGACUAAUCGAACCUUCUAGUAGCUGGUUCCAGCCGAAGUUUCCCUCAGGAUAGCAGUGUUGAAUUUUCUUCAGUUUUAUGAGGUAAAGCGAAUGAUUAGGGACUCGGGGGCGCUAUAUUGCCUUCAUCCAUUCUCAAACUUUAAAUAUGUAGGAAGCCCUUGGUACUUAAUUGA